GAUGAACGCUGGCGGCGUGCUUAACACAUGCAAGUCGAACGAUGAAGCCCAGCUUGCUGGGUGGAGUAGUGGCGAACGGGUGAGUAAGACGUGAGUAACCUGCCCUUAACUCUGGGAUAAGCCUGGGAAACAGGGUCUAAUACCGGAUAGGAGCGUCCACCGCAUGGAGGGUGUUGGAGAGAUAUAUCGGUUUUGGAUGGACUCGCGGCCUAUCAGCUUGUUGGUGAGGUAAUGGCUAACCAAGGCGACGACGGGGAGCCGGCCUGAGAGGGUGACCGGCCACACUGGGACUGAGACACGGCCCAGACUCCUACGGGAGGCAGCAGUGGGGAAUAUUGCACAAUGGGCGAAAGCCUGAUGCAGCGACGCCGCGUGAGGGAUGACGGCCUUCGGGUUGUAAACCUCUUUCAGUAGGGAAGAAGCGAAAGUGACGGUACCUGCAGAAGAAGCACCGGCUAACUACGUG
rnacentral:rRNA from 1 species